AAGAAAGGCGAAGAGGCACCUCUUGUGGAAGGCCUGGAAGGGGCGCCUCUUGCUUGCCAGAUGUCACUGAAUUAGAGGGUGAAGCAUUGGUUACGCGUUAAACGCGAAAAAUCUCUCUCUCUCAACCUCUCUUCGGCAAAAGGCGAUUUCGACGUCUCCUUCGGUUGCUCGCGUCGGCGUCAUCUCCAUCGAUGUCUCGUAUCGUCGACAUCACCUUUGGUGGCUCGCGUUGGCGACCUCUCUCUCGUUUGUUGGUUCUCCUUGAAUCUGUCUCUCGGUGGGUCUUCUCCUCGAAGCUUUCCCUCAGUGCCUCACCUCAAAUCUAAAGACGAAGAAAAGCUCAGCAGAGGAGUACAUUUGGUGGAACAAUACAUAUUGAAGGAUCAAGCUUCAGCGAGCAAAGGGUGAUUGAGCAAACGUUCAACGAACGAAGGUUAGUGUUACUCUGUCUUUCUGGUUUGAUUAAGGAUUUGGUUUCAAUUGAAUCGUACUGUAAUUUGAGCUCUUUAAAAACAUUAAGUUUAAUAAAGUUUUUUUUAAGAACCCUA